rnacentral:tRNA from 6 species
GCCUGCGUAGCUCAGUGGUAGAGCGAGCCCUUCAUAAGGGUUAGGUCCCUGGUCCGAUCCCAGGCGCAGGCA